UACGAGUGCCCCGAGCGUUAUCCGGAAUUAUUGGGCGUAAAGAGCUCGUAGGCGGCUUGUUGCGUCGGCUGUGAAAACCCGCAGCUCAACUGUGGGCUUGCAGCCGAUACGGGCAGGCUUGAGUUCGGUAGGGGAGACUGGAAUUCCUGGUGUAGCGGUGAAAUGCGCAGAUAUCGUAAGGAAGACCAGUGGCGAAGGCGGGUCUCUGGACAGUUCCUGACGCUGAGACGCGAAAGCGUGGGGAGCGAACAGG
rnacentral:rRNA from 1 species